rnacentral:rRNA from 1 species
AGAGUUGAUCAUGGCUCAGGAUGAACGCUAGCUACAGGCUUAACACAUGCAAGUCGAGGGGCAGCAUUGGGAUAGCUUGCUAUUCCAGAUGGCGACCGGCGCACGGGUGAGUAACGCGUAUCCAACCUUCCCCAUAGUGGGGCAUAGCCCGUAGAAAUGCGGAUUAAUACCCUAUGUUUUCCGAGGAUGACAUCUGAUUCGGAACAAAGGUUCACCGCUAUGGGAUGGGGAUGCGUCUGAUUAGGUAGUAGGCGGGGUAACGGCCCACCUAGCCGACGAUCAGUAGGGGUUCUGAGAGGAAGGUCCCCCACAUUGGAACUGAGACACGGUCCAAACUCCUACGGGAGGCAGCAGUGAGGAAUAUUGGUCAAUGGGCGCGAGCCUGAACCAGCCAAGUAAGCGUGCAGGAUGACGGCCCUAUGGGUUGUAAACUGCUUUUAUACAGGGAUAAAGUCGGGGACGCGUUCCCCGUUUGCAGGUACUGUAUGAAUAAGGACCGGCUAAUUCCGUGCCAGCCGCGGC